UGGUGGAGUGAUUUGUCUGGUUAAUUCCGUUAACGAACGAGACCUUAGCCUGCUAAAUAGCGAACUGAUAUUUAACUAUUAGUCUUCGCUUCUUAGAGGGACUUUGUAUGUUUAAUACAGGGAAGAUUGAGGCAAUAACA
rnacentral:rRNA from 1 species